UACGAAGGGUGCAAGCGUUACUCGGAAUUACUGGGCGUAAAGCGUGCGUAGGUGGUGAGUUAAGUCUGUCGUGAAAGCCCCGGGCUCAACCUGGGAAUGGCGAUGGAUACUGGCUCGCUAGAGUGCGGUAGAGGAGAGUGGAAUUCCCGGUGUAGCAGUGAAAUGCGCAGAUAUCAGGAAGAACACCAAUGGCGAAGGCAGCUCUCUGGGACGGUACUGACGCUGAGACGCGAAAGCGUGGGGAGCGAACAGG
rnacentral:rRNA from 1 species